AACGAACGCUGGCGGCAUGCUUAACACAUGCAAGUCGAACGAGACGGCCCGGUCUAGGGGCGCAGGGGGGCGUAAGGCGGGGUAACCUGCCCGUAGGUUCGGAAUAACUCCCCGAAAGGGGUGCUAAGACCGGAUAAUGUCUUCGGAGCUAAGAUUUAUUGCUUUUGGCUGGGGCCGGGUUGGUUUGGGUGGUUGGUGGGGUAAAAGCAUACCAUGGAUGUGUUCGUUAGCUGGUCGGAGAGGAGGAUCAGGCAGACUGGGAGUGAGACACGGCCCAGACUCCUAGGGGAGGCAGCAGUGAGGAAUAUUGGAGAAUGAGCCCAAGCCUGAUCCGGCCAUGCCGCGUGAGUGGUGAAGGCGUUGGGGUUGUAAUGCUCUUUUACCCGGGAUGAUAAUGACAGUACCGGGAGAAUAAGCACCGGCUAACUCCGUG
rnacentral:rRNA from 1 species